rnacentral:ncRNA from 1 species
GGAAUAAAAACGCAAUGUGCAUUUCCUUUCAGAAUGUACUAGAGCUGGUAGGUAGCCCAGCCGUCUGUGCAGUAAUGUCCAGGUAAGUAACCUUCCCCUCCGGGUUGUCCGUUUCCGU